GACGAACGCUGGCGGCGUGCUUAACACAUGCAAGUCGAACGGAAAGGCCCUGCUUUUGUGGGGUGCUCGAGUGGCGAACGGGUGAGUAACACGUGAGUAACCUGUCCCUGACUUUGGGAUAACUUCAGGAAACUGGGGCUAAUACCGGAUAGGAGCUCUUGCUGCAUGGUGGGGGUUGGAAAGUUUCGGCGGUUGGGGAUGGACUCGCGGCUGAUCAGCUUGUUGGUGGGGUAGUGGCUUACCAAGGCUUUGACGGGUAGCCGGCCUGAGAGGGUGACCGGCCACAUUGGGACUGAGAUACGGCCCAGACUCCUACGGGAGGCAGCAGUGGGGAAUAUUGCACAAUGGGCGGAAGCCUGAUGCAGCAACGCCGCGUGCGGGAUGACGGCCUUCGGGUUGUAAACCGCUUUCGCCUGUGACGAAGCGUGAGUGACGGUAAUGGGUAAAGAAGCACCGGCUAACUACGUG
rnacentral:rRNA from 1 species